ensembl:snoRNA
AUUCUUUGUAGUUCACAAGCAUGAUGCUUGGGUUUUCACAUACAUGGAUGACAUGUGCCUCUCUCAAACCUUGUUAUGAUGACAUCAGCACAUUACCCAUCCAACA